GGUGGCCGCAGAGAAUAGGCCCAAGCGACUGUUUACCAAAAACAUAGGUUUCUGCUAAGUCGCAAGACGAUGUAUAGGAGCUGACGCCUGCCCGGUGCUGGAAGGUUAAGGGGAUCUGUUAGAGCAAUCGAAGCAGUGAACUUAAGCCCCAGUAAACGGCGGCCGUAACUAUAACGGUCCUAAGGUAGCGAAAUUCCUUGUCGGGUAAGUUCCGACCCGCACGAAAGGCGUAACGAUUUGGGCACUGUCUCAACAACAGACUCGGUGAAAUUGUAAUUCCGGUGAAGAUGCCGGAUACCUGCGACAGGACGGAAAGACCCCAUGGAGCUUUACUGUAGCUUGACAUUGGGUCUUGGUACUACAUGUACAGGAUAGGUGGGAGGCUUUGAAACCAGGACGCCAGUUUUGGCGGAGCCAUCCUUGGGAUACCACCCUUGUAGUACUGGGACUCUAACCAUAGGCCAUGAAUCUGGUCUUGGGACACUGUCAGGUGGGCAGUUUGACUGGGGCGGUCGCCUCCCAAAAGGUAACGGAGGCGCUCAAAGGUUCUCUCAGUACGGUCGGAAAUCGUACGUAGAGUGUAAAGGCAAAAGAGAGCUUGAUUGCAAGACAUACAGGUCGAGCAAGGAUGAAAAUCGGACUUAGUGAUCCGGUGGUUCUGCGUGGAAGGGCCAUCGCUCAACGGAUAAAAGCUACCCUGGGGAUAACAGGCUUAUCUCCCCCAAGAGUCCACAUCGACGGGGAGGUUUGGCACCUCGAUGUCGGCUCAUCACAUCCUGGGGCUGUAGUAGGUCCCAAGGGUUGGGCUGUUCGCCCAUUAAAGUGGUACGCGAGCUGGGUUCAGAACGUCGUGAGACAGUUCGGUCCCUAUCCGUCGCAGGCG
rnacentral:rRNA from 1 species